GAUGAACGCUGGCGGCGUGCUUAACACAUGCAAGUCGAACGAACCUUCGGGUUAGUGGCGGACGGGUGAGUAACGCGUGAGAAUCUGCCCUCAGGAGGGGGAUAACGGCUGGAAACGGCCACUAAUACCCCAUAUGCCGAGAGGUGAAAUGAAAUUCGCCUGAGGAUGAGCUCGCGUCUGAUUAGCUAGUUGGUGUGGUAAAGGCUCACCAAGGCUUCGAUCAGUAGCUGGUCUGAGAGGAUGAUCAGCCACACUGGGACUGAGACACGGCCCAGACUCCUACGGGAGGCAGCAGUGGGGAANUUUUCCGCAAUGGGCGCAAGCCUGACGGAGCAACGNCCGCGUGNAGGGAUGAAGGCCUCUGGGCUGUAAACCUCUUUUAUCAASUAAGAAGAUCUGACGGUACUUGAUG
rnacentral:rRNA from 1 species